rnacentral:tRNA from 1 species
GUUGUAGCUCAGAGGUAGAGCACUUGCCUAGCAUGUGGGAGGCACUGGGUUCGAUUCUCAGCACAACA